CAAGCAUGUCAGACAACGAGAGUUGCAUUCCCACACUAUAACACGCGCCAGCACUCGGCAUCCUAAAAACGCUAAAUAAUGGUAAAUAUUAGGUAUUUGUGGUCCAUGCCAGAGUCGGAUGACUUUCGUAAUGAUCUUUGUGACAGUCGGAGCCACUGCGUAGAUCUGCGACAUUGAAAUCAUUAAAUUGCUUGUCAAUCAAGACGGAAACCUGUUUUACUUCAGAGUGUCGUGUACAUUUUGCGAUAUUAAUUCCUUAUUCCUUUGGGAUUUUAACCAAUUGUUGCCCCAGAAGAUUGUAUGAAUAUAAUUGUGCAGUCACUUUUCACUUGGUGUAUAGAUUGCUCUCCUAGGAUGUGUACCUCUACAGGGAGGUAUUGAUAAUACCAAUUUAUUCAUAUUUUAUGUAUAACGUGUCAGACCAAGUUAUGUCUCAGGCUGCGUCUUGCUGGCAUGAUUGGCUGUUAUGGAGAGUAAGUCGACCCAAGGCGUCAAAGAGAACUUCUCAAGAAAAGUCGUAAAGUACGCCACAUUCUAGGAAUAGGCGAGUGGGCAUUUAUUUCAAAAGCAAUGAGUGGCAAUCGUAAAGUUGCACAAGCAUAUUUGUGACAGCCUAACAUCUUAUAGACAUUGCUAAGAUCAUACACCCAUAACAACUUACUCCUUUUGACAGUUUUCAAAAAUAUUAGAUGUAUUUUAAUACACAUAUUGCUGAAUA